rnacentral:rRNA from 1 species
AACGAACGCUGGCGGCGUGGAUAAGACAUGCAAGUCGAACGCUUGUUUCAAGGUAGCAAUAUUUUGAAAUGGGAGUGGCGCAAGGGUGCGUAACACGUGGGUAAUUUGCCGCGAAGACUGGAAUAACUUGCUGAAAGGUGAGCUAAUGCCGGAUGUGAUUGUCGAGGGGCAUCUUUUGACAAUCAAAGUUGGGGACCGUAAGGCCUGACACUUUGCGAUAAGCCCGCGGCCUAUCAGCUAGUUGGUGAGGUAACGGCUCACCAAGGCUAAGACGGGUAGCUGGUCUGAGAGGACGACCAGCCACACUGGAACUGAGACACGGUCCAGACACCUACGGGUGGCAGCAGUCGAGAAUUUUUCACAAUGGGCGAAAGCCUGAUGGAGCGACGCCGCGUGGGGGAUGAAUGGCUUCGGCCCGUAAACCCCUGUCAUUCGCGAACAAAUCUUCCGGUCUAAUACGUCGGAAGUUGAUUGUAGCGGAAGAGGAAGGGACGGCUAACUCUGUGCCAGCAGCCGCGGUAAUACAGAGGUCCCAAGCGUUGUUCGGAUUCACUGGGCGUAAAGGGUGCGUAGGCGGUUGGGUAAGUCUGAUGUGAAAUCCCGGAGCUUAACUCCGGAACUGCAUCGGAUACUCUCCAGCUCGAGGAUUGGAGGGGGGACUGGAAUUCUCGGUGUAGCAGUGAAAUGCGUAGAUAUCGAGAGGAACACCGGUGGCGAAGGCGAGUCCCUGGACAAUUCCUGACGCUGAGGCACGAAAGCUAGGGGAGCAAACAGGAUUAGAUACCCUGGUAGUCCUAGCCGUAAACGGUGCACGUUUGCUGUGAGCGGAAUCGACCCCGUUCGUGGCGAAGCUAACGCGUUAAACGUGCCGCCUGGGAAGUACGGUCGCAAGAUUAAAACUCAAAGAAAUUGACGGGGGCCUGCGCAAGCGGUGGAGUAUGUGGCUUAAUUCGAUGCAACGCGAAGAACCUUACCUGGCCUUGACAUGUAGGUAGUAGAAGGGUGAAAGCCUGACGAGGUAGCAAUACCAGCUUACACAGGUGCUGCAUGGC